GUAAGUAAAAGUGUAACAGGAAGAAAGUUGCAGCAUAUAUGCGGUGAAUUAUGCGGUGUCAUAGGAAUUGAGGAUUUAUGUAAGAUGCUGAUAAUGAGUAAGGAACCUUAAAGUUAAUCGUUCCCUGUCUCUCCGCUGAACUAUCCGGACAAAACCGGGCAAUGAACAGUCAAAUCCCACAAAUUCAAUGAUUUGUGGGACUUUU
rnacentral:sRNA from 1 species